UCCGCGGUAGCUCAGCUGGUAGAGCGGUCCCCUGUUAAGGGAUUGGUCGUAGGUUCGAAUCCUACCCGCGGAG
rfam:Candidatus Taylorbacteria bacterium RIFCSPHIGHO2_12_FTLL_45_16 rifcsphigho2_12_scaffold_21, whole genome shotgun sequence.